GCGGGUAGUUAUUUUCUGUUUAGUCUCUGUUACCUGACAGAACUGGUCGCUUUCGUUUUGUUACUUUGUUCGAGUGUUUAAAAAAAAAAAAUAUUAUAUAUAUAUAAAAAAAAUCAUGAACACUUUUCACGCUGCGCUUUGGUCCACUCCUUCCGGCGACAGGCUUUACACAACCACCAAGAUGCACGGUCAAGUUGUGCAGCAAAAUGAUGAAAACAUCAGUAUCCUAAACAUCAUUCACCGUUGAGGGAGGGAACUCCUGUCUCACUUUGUUCAUGGUGCCAGCCAGAGUUUUCUUUGCAAGCAACAUGUUUGCCAAUGACCGUGAACUGAAGAAGUUGUCCAUGGAGACAUUUCUCCCCUUGCAAACGUAAGGUUCCACAAGCUUCAUCGCCACAUUCUCCGACACUCGCUCCCCUGCUGCCCGAUGUGGUACUUUUCCCAGAUAUUGAAAGCCGUUCAAGCAUGUACAAUUAUGCAAGUCCUCACUGUGUAGCCUACUCCAAGUACGCUAGAGUACAAGACUGAUAAGACUGCUUGGAUUCAGUGGACUGAUACAGGGUACAUACCAUUUUAAGAUUAUAAUUCAAAUGGAUCAAUACAAUAGAAUGACCCGCCCUGUUCUUCAUUCACUAUUGGUGAUUGCAUAAUUAUGCAUCGUCCGAGUCCCCUCGCUCAUCAACUCACCCCUUUCUCCCCCAUCAAACUUUACUUUAUGUAUUUAAUCUGUUAUCUGUGUGAAAUUAGUUUCGGUAUAGUUUAGGUUCCAUUUUGAGGCAAUUAUCAAGUUAUUAUCUGCUGGGCACUGCACUUUCAACUGUUGGAAGAUGGAGCAGAGCAGGCCCUACUGUUAAAAAAAUAAAAUAAUACAAUCGCGAGCAGUCUACAUGACUGUUUUAGCAGUUCUAGUGUUAAAAAGAUGUCAUCCACUGUAGUGGCCUUUUCAACACUGUCUCUUCCCUCACAGCCGAUAGGGUUGUUGAUUGAGCGGGUUACAUUUCCAUGGUAUUAGGCUCUCCCCUGUAAAACCAUGGCUCCUGUAGGGCUCUAAUAGCCAACAGGGGGAGAAAAAAGGGCAGGCAUUUAGAUUUUAGUUUUUACACACAAAGCUACAGGAAACCUUAGGUAUGCAGCUCACACCACACUGUGUGAUCAGUGUGUGCAUUGAGGCAAAAUAGGAUUCCGUCUGGUUAGGUAAGAGAAGAGAAAGGGAAGAACGCAAAGAUGAAUAAAAAAUGUAGUAUAGGACUUAAGAAAUAUUCCAUUUGAGGAAGCUUUACUUCAUUAUCAAGAAACUGAAUUUAAUAUUCCCUGCAAGCAAUGCAAACAUUAAAAUAGGCGUUUUUAAUAUGCUGGUCAGAUGCGGUGCUGCUGCCGGCCAAUUGAGCUCGGAAAGAAACAGACACAAGGGAGCGAGACUUAAAGAAGCAGCCAAACUUCUGUUGAGGAUUUUCUGCCCCUCUGCCUCGAUUUUGCUGGGCCUAAGUUUAGUAGUAGGAAGAUGAGCGAGUUUGUCUAGUCUUUUUCUGGGGUUCUUUUGAUUAUCACCUAUCACUUUCUGUUUUCUACAGUGAACAAUAGCAGAGUGGCUUUUUUCCUCAGCACUCAAUAAACAGUUCGAUAGACUGAUAUUAUUCUUAGGGAUGAGGAAUCAUGCCCCGGAGAAGCAGGGUUUUAUUAGAAAAUAUUAAUCUUGUCAGCCGGUCCUAAGGAAUAUAAACGACGUGCAGUCGCUAGGUCAGAUUGAAUUUGCAGAUAAAGUGGAGCUUAAUAUUCAAAAUUAUCAUAGUGAUAUCCACAACAUCCCUCAAACCCGGUUGGCUCCCAUGCUAUAGAUCGGGGACGCUGGUUCCAGGAAACGAACAAAUUAAUUAAAGCAGAUCCCCCAAAAAAUUUACUUGUGUUUUUUGCACACGGUCCUUGUUAUGCUACAUUUGCUUAAGUUUGAUGAUGGAUGUUAAGAGUAUGGUGGUCGUAAAACCGGAAGCUUCUUGCAUUUCUUCCAUUUGGGUGGGAAACUCAGUUCAGCAAUUUCAAAUCCUGUGUCUUGUAGAGCACAUUGGUGGUCCUAAGUAAAACUGGAACCAUUCUGUAUGUCUGCAGUGUUUUCUGUUUGUGGCGUCAUGUGUGCACAAUGUGUACGUUUGAAAUAUGUGUUUUCAUGUUAACGCUGUGAUCCAAAUGCAGGCUGUAUUGAAUCAACAGAGCGAAAGAAAAUGUACUAAUUA